ACCAUUGCUUGCACCACCACCACCACCACCACCACCACCACCACCACCACCACCACUACCACUAUUAGGUAUUACUACAGUUUCGUGAGGCAUGGGCGUGGUAGUGGUCACAGGGGGGGCGGGGUACAUAGGCUCCCACGCUACACUCUGCCUACUACGCGCUGGAUAUCAGGUAGUAGCAAUUGACAGCUGCCUCAACUCACACGCCCCCCGCCCCCCUUCCGUGCUGCCCCGCCUUGGAGAGAGUGCUGAAGGUGCUAGAGGAGGAGGAGGAGGAGGAGGAGGAGGAGGAGGAGGAGAAG